CAGGGAGGGGUUCAGACUCAGGGCCUCCAGCUUAAUGAUGAGUUUGGAGGGUACUUUGGUGUUAAAUGCUGAGCUGUAGUCAAUGAGCAGCAUUCUUACAUAGGUAUUCCUCUUGUCCAGAUGGGUUAGGGCAGUGUGCAGUGUGAUGAUUGCAUCGUCUGUGGACCUAUUGGGGCGGUAAGCAAAUUGAAGUGGGUCUAAGGUGGCCAGCAAGAUGGAGGUGAUAUGAUCCUUGACUAGUCUCUCAAAGCACUUCUUGGUGAUAGUCAUUUAGUUCAGUUAUCUUUGCCUUCUUGGGGACAGGAACAAAGGUGGCCAUCUUGAAGCAUGUGGGGACAGCAGAGUGGGAUAGGGAGCGAUUGAAUAUGUCCUUAAACACUCCAGCCAGCUGGUCUGAGCUCUGAGGAUGCGGUUGGGGAUGCCGUCUGGGCCGGCAGCCUGGCGAGGGUUAACACGUUUAACACCAACUACAGUUCACUACUACUGAGAUCUAGAACUACAACACCAACUACAGGUCACUACUACUGAGAUCUAGAACUACAACACCAACUACAGGUCACUACUACUGAGAUCUAGAACUACAACAUCAACUACAGGUCACUACUACUGAGAUCUAGAACUACAACAUCAACUACAACAUCAACUACAACAUCAACUACAGUUCACUACUACUGAGAUCUAGAACUACAACAUCAACUACAACAUCAACUACAGGUCACUACUACUGAGAUCUAGAACUACAACAUCAACUACAGUUCACUACUACUGAGAUCUAGAACUACAACAUCAACUACAACAUCAACUACUGAGAUGUGUACUACUCA
ensembl:lncRNA